rnacentral:rRNA from 1 species
UACGUAGGGUGCGAGCGUUGUCCGGAAUUACUGGGCGUAAAGAGCUCGUAGGUGGUUUGUCGCGUUGUUCGUGAAAACCGGGGGCUUAACCCUCGGCGUGCGGGCGAUACGGGCAGACUUGAGUACUGCAGGGGAGACUGGAAUUCCUGGUGUAGCGGUGGAAUGCGCAGAUAUCAGGAGGAGCACCGGUGGCGAAGGCGGGUCUCUGGGCAGUAACUGACGCUGAGGAGCGAAAGCGUGGGGAGCGAACAGG